CAUAGCUUCUUGAACCUUGGGGAAAAGCCGCAUAACACCAUUAACUUGAAAACCAUGUAUUUCCUAUCCCAAAACUGCUCCUAGCACAAGGGGUAGAAGAUGGUUUUUAGUUGUGUGGUCAUGUGGAUUUUUCACCAAGAUUCAAGUGGUUAUC
rfam:Triticum urartu cultivar G1812 contig907419, whole genome shotgun sequence.